UGUAAGUCGCUCUGGAUAAGAGCGUCUGCUAAAUGACUUAAAUGUAAAUGUAAAUGUCAUCUUGAGUGACCGAGGUCAUGAACAUUGGAACAAGGUUUGGUGAAUGGACCAACCAGACCCUCAAGACUGCCAUGGACAAAUCCCUUGAUACCAGGUAGGGUGGGAGAACAACCUGAAGGUAAUUCUCUUUGCACACAACAGCAGCAUCCAGGCCGAGUACGGACGGGAGCCGCAGCUGUUGACUGAGGUAAACAAUGCAGUUGCAUAUACAAUUAUUGCAUAUACUGUAGUCUUUCAAAUGUGCGAUUGACUUAGUGUUGUUUGUCUAUUGCUAUUUUUGUAUAACGUACUUUCAGAUCACUAAAACCCCACCUGAUGUGGUGGAAGUUGUCGAACCAGAUCAGAACGCCUUUGUGUACUACCUUCAGGCACGGACUGAGAAGGAUGUGGCAGUUUUUGACCAGGACCUAGGGGUUCUGCCCAACACCCAGACGUGGAUCCACCUGAUGUCCUCCAUUACCAACCAUCCUCCAACUUCUCAUUACAUCAGCUAUUGUUAUUGUCAUGUUGUCAUUAUCUGCCAAGAAAGUGUCUUGCUCUAUCAUACUGAGCACAUAAUAUGUGAGAUACACAGAUGAACUACUGCAAACACUCAGAACAAAGAGAGCAGCAGUCUCCRUCUUCAAGUUCCCCUUCUGAGAUUSGCUGCCUGUUGAGAACAAGUGACAGGCAGAAUUCCACACACUAGAAUUCAGUAUUUUAGCCUAUGAUAUCCAUGUGAGUGUACAACAAAUCUGUGAAAAUAAAUUAAUGACACAAGUGUACCAAAAACGAUCAAAGUUUAUGUAUUAAAAU